rnacentral:tRNA from 1 species
ACUUGAAUGAGCUUGCACUAGUAGCUCAGCAUCAGAGCCCUGGUCUUGUAAACCAGAUGUCGGAGGUUAAAAUCCUCCCUACUGCU